CUCGGCAAAUUAUCCUCAUAAGUUUACAAUAAGAGGAGCCUUAUAAAUAAGUAAUAUUCAAUUUCAUUAUCAAAAAUAAUUUAUAGAAAUAUGUGACGAAUUGCAUACUAUUAUAUGCAUUAGUUUUUAGAUCUUACCUAUUUUAUAUUAAUAUUAGUAUUUAUUUAAUAAAAUAGGAAGAUCCCGUUUCUAUGCUAUCUGAAUAUAAUUUAUUAAAGGUGAAAAGACUUGGAGGCCACGACUGUUUACUAAAAACACAGAUAUCCGCAACGAAUAACAUUCUUCGUAUGGAUGUUGAGCUUUGCCCGAUGCCGAAGCAUAAGUAAGAGUUAGACACAGAGAUGCUUAACACCUUACGAAAAUUCGGUGAAUGGCGGUCUUAACGUGAGGAUCCUAAGGUAGCAAAAUGACUUGUCCACUAAAUAUGGUCUUGACUGAAUAACGUAACGAUGGUCUCGCUGUCUCUACAAGUAUCUCAGUGAAAUUGAAUUAGCCGUGCAGAUGCGGUUUACCUCCAGGUAGACGGGAAGACCCUAUGCAGCUUCUACUG
rnacentral:rRNA from 1 species